CCUACGGGGGGCAGCAGUGAGGAAUAUUGGUCAAUGGCCGGAAGUCUGAACCAGCCAAGCCGCGUGAAGGACGACGGUGCCAAGCAUUGUAAACUUCUUUUGUCAAGGGAUAAAAUCAGGCUCGAGAGCCUGACCGCGGGUACUUGAAGAAAAAGCAUCGGCUAACUCCGUGCCAGCAGCCGCGGUAAUACGGAGGAUGCGAGCGUUAUCCGGAUUUAUUGGGUUUAAAGGGUGCGUAGGCGGAUUGAUAAGUUAGAGGUGAAAUGUCCGAGCUUAACUCGGGAACUGCCUCUAAUACUGUUGAUCUAGAGAGUAGAUGCGGUAGGCGGAAUGUAUGGUGUAGCGGUGAAAUGCUUAGAGAUCAUACAGAACACCGAUUGCGAAGGCAGCUUACCAAUCUAUAUCUGACGUUGAGGCACGAAAGCGUGGGGAGCAAACAGGAUUAGAUACCCGAGUAGUC
rnacentral:rRNA from 1 species